rnacentral:misc_RNA from 1 species
UGGAAUUCAAGAGCAUAGAUGCGAGCUUCUUGGGCGAUGAGAAUGGGAAGCUGUGGAAUGUGCCGGAUUCUAGGGCUGCUAUAUUUAAAGACAAGAGCUUGAGCUUGAUGGAGAAGAAUCGGUUGAUGAGGUUCUUUAAGCUGGUGCAGGGACAAUUGGCUGCUUCUUCUGGCGGAGAUCGAGUAAAUGAGAAUAAAGAAGAAGAACAAGAAUCAGAGAGUCCGGGAAUUUCAGAGGAAGAUUUGGAGCGUCCAUUUGUUGAGUUCAUGACUAAAAUGAAGUUGCCUUCCAAGAUUAAAUC